UCCUCUCUUUGUCUACCCAAUCCAAACCAAAUCCACCUUUUCUCUCCCAAAUUUUCUUUGCUAAACACCUCAUUUCAAAUCACAUCUUUGAAUCUAUCUGCUUCUACGAUCUUCUGUGUUCACAUCCACACAUACAUACAUCCACAUUGAGAAGCUAAUUUCCCGUCAAAAAUCUCAAGUAUGAGAACCAAAGCCAGCAACCAAAACAGGUUCAUGCGAUUCAUUAUGAUACCAAUUAGGGUUUUAGGCAAAGCCAGAGACUUCUACGUUUGAAUCAUUACGGAGUGUGACCAAAGGGUUAGCUAUGGCGGCGCGAUGGGCAUUCAAUCGGGACCGAUUCACAACUUGCCGAAAAGAUUCAGCGUGAGCUCUUCGUCGAGAUCAUCAUCUGCGGACAAUGAUGAUCUGAGAGAGCUGAUUGGGGUUGCAUUGACGGGGAGAUUGAGAGUUGAUAUGGAUAUGGAUAUGCAGAGGCGGUAGAUGAAGCGGUCCAUGGCGGCGGCGGGGGUGCCAAGGAGCUGUAGUGUUGGGAUGGGGAAGAUUGAUGAAGAGAGGCCUUGUGAGUUGUUAUGGCUUUUCCAUUUGGAGGUCUUUGGAAUGACUUAUUUGAUGUGUAGAAUAUGUGUAAAAACUCAGAAUUAGGGAUAAUUGUGUUAGUUUGAAUCCUCUCCUAAUUCCAACUCCUCAUUCAGGUUUUACUAAGCUUGUGGGCUGCUGCUGUGAUUGGAAAUUGGUGCAACUUUUUGACUGUCCUGUAUAUUGGUUUUGUUGCAUUUCACACACUACCAGUUCUAUAUGAGAGGUAUGAAGACCAAGUCGGCGGCUUUGUAUAAAGUGUACUCGGCCAGCUUUAGCACCAAUAUCGAAAGCUGGAUGCCGGUGUCCUCAGCAAAAUUCCCAAAGGAAAGCUUGAUAGAGUAGAUAAUUGUUAUCUUUUUAUGCAGAUA